rnacentral:rRNA from 1 species
CCUACGGGAGGCAGCAGUGAGGAAUCUUGGUCAAUGGGCGCGAGCCUGAACCAGCCACGUAGCGUGAAUGAUGACUGCCCUACGGGUUGUAAACUUCUUUUAUAAAGGAAUAAAGUGAGGCACGUGUGCCUUUUUGUAUGUACUUUAUGAAUCAGGAUCGGCUAACUCCGUGCCAGCAGCCGCGGUAAUACGGAUGAUCCGAGCGUUACCCGGAUUUAUUGGGUUUAAAGGGAGCGUAGAUGGGUUGUUAAUUCAGUUGUGAAAGUUUGCGGCUCAACCGUAAAAUUGCAAUGGAUACUGGCAGCAUUGAGGACAGGUGAGAUAGGCGAAAUUCGUGGUGUAGCGGUGAAAUGCUGAG